CACACAAAGCUCGCUGUUCACAGUUUAGGGCUACCUGAAUAUACACCUCCUGAAAAUCAGAUUGGGGUGGGGUAUGGGUAAGGGUACAUGGGUUCACACAGCCAUUGCAUUGUGUUUUCCCCGCUUUCACGACUGUCCAGGGGAAAGAGUCUCCAGCAGAAGCUGGCGCCUCGUGGGUCGGCCAGUAAGGACGGGGCGCGUGGCUCGCCUCCAUCUCCCCGCGGUGCCAGACGCUGCUCAAAGCCAAAGGUUGUGGGGGGAGGGAAGGGAGUCGGUGGGGACCAGGAGACUGCGAGGGGUGUUUCUUUGGGGUGGGUUUCUUUGCUUUGCUGGGUUUCUUUGAGGUGGAACUAUCAAUGCGCGCAGGGAUCUCCCCUAGACCGCGGAAUCUGGUUGUUUAAAGCCCCGGGGUACCCUCGGCAAGUGGCUUCAAGAGGGUCCUGCUGAGCUUUCCCCACCCACCCACGUCCAGGUUGCCGGGUGAAGCAGGCGAGCACGAAAAGGUGAAAGGUUACCCAGACUGCAGUUCGGAGACCUGGGGCUGCGGGGAGUCGUGGGGUGUGAGGUGAAAGCCUGGGGGCCUUCCGUGGAGAAGGGGAGCUGCCACUUUGGGAGAAGGGAGGGGGAUGAGAGCGCAGAGGUGUGAAGGGAGUCCGAGAUAAAGAGCAGAAAGGAGGGGAGGGGGAAAGCGAGCGGGCACAAUCCCACCCUUCGAGAAGGUCGCCAACCCGAAGAAAGCAGACACAGGGUCCCUGACCCCUGUCGGGCACGCCCGGCCGCGGAGGGAGGGACCCCUGCGCAGCGCGCGUUGGCGCUCGAGGCCCCCGCCCGGAGGAGCCGGCUGGGCGGCUGCGUGAACAGGUGACUUUAUUCACUGCUUCCCGAAUCGUCGAGGUCCCGGGACUCGUUUUCCGCCUGGAGAUUAAGAUCAUUGCUCGUGUAAUGAACUUAAUGCUUUAGGGUAGAGCUCCGCCUUGGGAGAGAAUGUUACAGACGCGUUGUCGGGCAAACUGGGCCAAAAAGUGACACCUCCCCCCCAACCCCCGCUCCCCGCCAUCAGCCGUCUCCCUUAAGAGGCGAUCCCCCGCUCUCUUUCCCUCACUGCUCUUUUCCCUGGCUCUGGGAUUCCCAACGCCCUAUAGACUGCACCUGGCCACCCUGAGUGUUGCAUACCGCCUAACAGUCAAGGAGGUGCGGGAUGGCACGGAAGAGGGGGAUGAAACGAGGGGAAAUGCCCGGCCAGGCGGGCCACACCACUAUCCAAUUCCACCCCCCUCCACCCGGCGUCCAAUUGCCCACCCGGGAGCUUGAAUCAAGUCAUGUUUUUACAGCGUUCACAUGGGCCAAGGGCCUGCUGAAAUCCUAAAAGGCAAGGGAAAGUUUGCAAAGGCUUUAAAGCGUUCCCAAGGAGCUCCUGCCUAAGGCGUCGGGGUGCUGCCCACGGCCCCCCUACUACGACCCCCGACCCUGGCACUCGCGACCUGCCCGGCGGGCGCUGCCCGGGUUCCAAGUGCGUGCCCUCCGAGCCCCUAAGCUCUCGGAGUCGCGCUGCCAGCGCCGCGGUGAGACUCGGAAAUCGAAUCCAUCAAGAAACCCCUAGCGCUUCACAAAGCACACCCGAGCUGUUCUAAGGGAGGGCCCCCCCCCCCGAGUGCCCCAGGAGGUGUCUUUCCAUAACCUUGUGCGCAAACCGGGGUCGCCUCGCCUCCAGAGACAAAGUCAGUAGUCCCCUUACACUUGACUUUCCUCUUGCGGUGGGGAGGAGAUAGGAAGCUACUGCAGAUGCCGAAGUCGCCCCCCCAAGGUGCCUUGGGCUCUAAGCAUAGAUCUGUCCUCUCAGGCACAGGGUCCAGGCCAGGACGCUGUGCGCGGUAGGACACCGGGGCAGCGGCAUCCUCGUCUGGACUCCUCGCAGCCGCCGCGGCAGCCCGCGGGAGCUGCUCUCCCGCACCCAGUUCGGCCCAGCCGCCAGCCGCCGGCAUCUCGCCUCCAUCCCUGGCCGGCAGACUCGGGGAGGAGAGGCGCUGUACACAGCAACCGACCCCGAGCGCAAAGUCUGCGUGCCGCGUGGGAGACGCGGGCGGGAGGGGGCGGGUAGGGCUUGCGUUUUUCCUUUUCAGAAGCUUUCGACUUGACUACGAAGUUUCCUGGUAGGCGCCUCUGCCCGGGGGUCGGAGCCUCCCACCGCCGCUCCUUCCCCUCCCUCCACCCCGCCCCCCGCCGGCCGAGCCAGCCGGAGCCGCUGUCCGGGCCUGGCCGCGCUUGGUCCCCCAGGCCCGGACCCCGCACCCGAGCGCCGCGCCUCCCUCUCCGCGGCCCUCCCCGGGCUCCGUGGGGGUGCCAGUCCCCGGGGCGAAACUCGCCGGCCGGGCGCACAGUGAGAAGACACCCGCUGCCUCCCGAGGAACUCCUAAUACCAUCCAUACAGCUUUAAUGCGUUUAUAAUUCGAUAAGUGAUUUCAAUUUGAAAUUGUUAGUAACUAAUUUUAUGGGUAAUUUU